CAGCCGCCGCGGGAAAACGGAGGGGGCUAGCGUUGUUCGGAAUUACUGGGCGUAAAGCGCACGUAGGCGGCUUGGUAAGUUAGAGGUGAAAGCCCGGAGCUCAACUCCGGAAUUGCCUUUAAGACUGCCGAGCUAGUAGGUGAGAGAGGUAAGUGGAAUUCCGAGUGUAGAGGUGAAAUUCGUAGAUAUUCGGAAGAACACCAGUGGCGAAGGCGGCUCACUGGCUCAUCCUAGACGCCGAGGUGCGAAAGCGUGGGGAGCAAACAGGAUUAGAUACCCGAGUAGUCCCUGUCUCUUAUAC
rnacentral:rRNA from 1 species